rnacentral:rRNA from 1 species
GACGAACGCUGGCGGCGUGCUUAACACAUGCAAGUCGAGCGGUAAGGCCUUUCGGGGUACACGAGCGGCGAACGGGUGAGUAACACGUGGGUGAUCUGCCCUGCACUCUGGGAUAAGCCCGGGAAACUGGGUCUAAUACCGGAUAUGACUGUCCCAUGCAUGUGGGGUGGUGGAAAGAUUUAUCGGUGCAGGAUGGGCCCGCGGCCUAUCAGCUUGUUGGUGGGGUAAUGGCCUACCAAGGCGACGACGGGUAGCCGACCUGAGAGGGUGACCGGCCACACUGGGACUGAGACACGGCCCAGACUCCUACGGGAGGCAGCAGUGGGGAAUAUUGCACAAUGGGCGGAAGCCUGAUGCAGCGACGCCGCGUGAGGGAUGAAGGCCUUCGGGUUGUAAACCUCUUUCAGCAGGGACGAA